rnacentral:rRNA from 1 species
GAUGAACGCUGGCGGCGUGCCUAAUACAUGCAAGUCGAGCGAACAGACGAGGAGCUUGCUCCUCUGACGUUAGCGGCGGACGGGUGAGUAACACGUGGAUAACCUACCUAUAUGACUGGGAUAAAUUCGGGAAACCGGAGCUAAUACCGGAUAAUAUAUUGAACCGCAUGGUUCAAGAGUGAAAGACGGUUUUGCUGUCACUUAUAGAUGGAUCCGCGCCGCAUUAGCUAGUUGGUAAGGUAACGGCUUACCAAGGCAACGAUGCGUAGCCGACCUGAGAGGGUGAUCGGCCACACUGGAACUGAGACACGGUCCAGACUCCUACGGGAGGCAGCAGUAGGGAAUCUUCCGCAAUGGGCGAAAGCCUGACGGAGCAACGCCGCGUGAGGGAUGAAGGUCUUCGGAUCGUAAAACUCUGUUAUUAGGGAAGAACAAAUGUGUAAGUAACUAUGCGCGUCUUGACGGUACCUAAUCAGAAAGCCACGGCUAACUACGUG